AACGCGAUAGCUCAGUUGGCAGACCAUCUGCCCGGUAGGCGGAAAGCGCCGGUUUAAUUCAGGCUCACGUUG
rnacentral:tRNA from 1 species